UACAGAGGGUGCGAGCGUUAAUCGGAAUUACUGGGCGUAAAGGGCGCGUAGGCGGUCUAUCCAGUGAGAUGUGAAAUCCCCGGGCUUAACCUGGGAACUGCAUCUUAAACUGAUAGGCUGGAGUACUGUAGAGGAUAGUGGAAUUUCCGGUGUAGCGGUGAAAUGCGUAGAGAUCGGAAGGAACAUCAGUGGCGAAGGCGACUGUCUGGACAGAUACUGACGCUGAGGCGCGAAAGCGUGGGGAGCGAACAGG
rnacentral:rRNA from 1 species